UACGUAGGUGGCGAGCGUUGUCCGGAAUUACUGGGCGUAAAGCGAAUGUAGGCGGCUAUGUAAGUCGGAUGUGAAAUCCCCGGGCUCAACCUGGGAACUGCAUUCGAUACUGCAUGGCUAGAGUCUGAUAGAGGGAAGUGGAAUUCCAGGUGUAGCGGUGAAAUGCGUAGAUAUCUGGAAGAACACCAGUGGCGAAGGCGGCUUCCUGGAUCAAGACUGACGCUGAGGCUCGAAAGCGUGGGGAGCAAACAGG
rnacentral:rRNA from 1 species